UGCAACCCUGGGUGUAGCAAUAUGAG
rnacentral:misc_RNA from 1 species